CAACUUUCAACAACGGAUCUCUUGGUUCUGGCAUCGAUGAAGAACGCAGCGAAAUGCGAUAAGUAGUGUGAAUUGCAGAAUUCAGUGAAUCAUCGAAUCUUUGAACGCACAUUGCGCCCUUUGGUAUUCCAAAGGGCAUGCCUGUUCGAGCGUCAUUU
rnacentral:rRNA from 72 species